rnacentral:rRNA from 1 species
CCUACGGGCUGCAGCAGUGGGGAAUAUUGGACAAUGGGCAAAAGCCUGAUCCAGCAAUGCCGCGUGUGUGAAGAAGGUCUUCGGAUUGUAAAGCACUUUCGACGGGGGCGAUGAUGACGGUACCCGUAGAAGAAGCCCCGGCUAACUUCGUGCCGGCAGCCGUGGUAAUACGAAGGGGGCUAGCGCUGCUCGGAAUGACUGGGCGUAAAGGGCGCGUAGGCGGUUUAUGCAGUCAGAUGUGAAAUCCCCGGGCUUAACCUGGGAACUGCAUUUGAGACGCAUAGACUAGAGGUCGAGAGAGGGUUGUGGAAUUCCCAGUGUAGAGGUGAAAUUCGUAGAUAUUGGGAAGAACACCGGUGGCGAAGGCGGCAACCUGGCUCGAUACUGACGCUGAGGCGCGAAAGCGUGGGGAGCAAACAGGAUUAGAUACCCCUGGUAGUC